GCCUUAGACACUAUUCCAACAGUCUCCCACUUGGAUAAGUCUAGUAACUAUACAAGUACAAUUCGGUUUGCAAUCGUAGCUCUCAAAGACGCUGUCAACUCUGAUCUAAUCAAUCUUGUCCUUUAGAUAAGGGAACGUACAGUCCUCUGUUAGAUAUCAUGCUGACAAUCCUAUGGAAUGGUUAGUCAAGCAUUUAGGUUUCUCGAUCUCUGAUUUAUUCGAAAGAGAACUUAAUCGAACACAUCAAUUCAGUUCCGACCGGGCCUGGCACAUAAGUCAAAUCAAAUCAUCGAGCGGCCGAGAUAUCGCUUUUACCUUCUUAGAUAAAAGUUACAGAUAAACUUCGACUUAUAUGCAUUUACUUAUUCAUUUACCAACUAUACACAACAAUACGUUUUAUAACACCAAGUUACUGAUGCGUUUUCGUAUUAUCAAUGUACAAUCAAUUAACAAAUAAUAAACCAUAUAUCUAGGUUUUAAGACUAUAUGAUAUUAUCGUCUUGCGAUCACCUUUUAUAUCGUAUUCCAUAAGGUGAUUCCAGCAAGCGCGGGUUUAUUCCAAUGCUCAAAACUAGUUCAUAAGCACUCAUGAACGUUGCAGCAAUCCUUUGCUAUGUCUAACACCAUUUAGACAUUCUACACACCAAUUCAUGACAAUCUUCAUUCAUAUCUACUCCCAACAUAUGAACGAUUGUGGACCAUUUGAACAAUUCGAUUAUUCCUAAUAAACUCAAUUAUUCUGGAAGUCAAAACAUGCAAAGUGAAACAAUAGCUAAACAAUUAACAUAAGAUAGUAACAUUACUCAUAAAUAAAACUCCUUUAUUUAAUCAUCAAAUGUUAAUUACAUUUAUCUAUUACACGUUUCUAAUACUAUCUAAUCUAUGCUAAUAUCAUCCUUCAGCCCAAUACUCCUAGCAUGCUGCAAGUGCUUAACCCUACUCAGUCCCUUCGUAAGCGGAUCUGCUGGGUUAUCUUCUGAUGAUAUCCUCUUCACUACGAGUUGUCCUUCUUCUACACGAUGUCUAAUGAAGUGAUACUUUCUGUCGAUAUGUCUUGAUCUACCAUGAUCCCUCGGUUCCUUGGUUAAGGCAACCGCACCUUCGUUAUCACAGAAAAUCUCCAUUGGCUCCUUUAUGGCAGGUACAACUCCAAGAUCACCGAUGAAGUUCUUUAGCCAUAUUGCCUCCUUCGACGCUUCGCUCGCUGCAAUGUACUCUGAUUCGCACGUUGAAUCAGCUACGGUUUCCUGCUUGGAACUCUUCCAUGUCACUGCUCCUCCAUUUAGGGUAAAGACCCAGCCCGACUGCGAACGGUAGUUGUCCCUGUCGGUCUGAAAACUGGCGUCACUAUACCCUCGCACCUUCAAGUCAUCACUCCCUCCGAGGACUAAGAACCAUUCCUUCGUCCUCCGAAGGUACUUAAGGAUAUUCUUCACCGCAAUCCAAUGUGCUUUGCCAGGAUUCCCUUGAUAUCUGCUAACCAUGCUCAAAGCGAAGGCUACAUCAGGGCGAGUACAAGUCAUAGCGUACAUGAUUGAGCCAACUGCGGAAGCGUAUGGUACUCGGCUCAUUUCUGCUAUCUCAGCUUCGGUACUCGGACUUUGAGUCUUACUCAAUUUGGCAUUACUUUGUAUCGGUAGUUCUCCCUUCUUUGAGUUUUCCAUACUAAAACGUUUUAGUACCUUCUCUAAGUAAGUAUUCUGACUAAGUCCAAUUAGUCUCUUACUUCUUUCUCUUACUAUCCUUAUUCCCAAAAUGUAAGAAGCCUCUCCGAGGUCCUUCAUAGCGAAGCACUUCCCGAGCCAGGACUUAACCUCCUGCAGAGUCGGGAUGUCGUUUCCUAUGAGUAAUAUGUCAUCGACAUAUAGAACGAGGAAGCUUACUAUACUCCCACUGGCUUUGACAUAUACACAAGAUUCGUCUUCGCUUCGUACAAAUCCAAACUCUUUGACUUUCUCAUCGAAGCAAAGAUUCCAUCUGCGAGACGCUUGCUUAAGUCCAUAAAUGGACUUCUCAAGCUUACACACUCUAUUCGGAUGCUUCGGAUCCACAAACCCCUCUGGCUGAGCCAUGUAAACAUCCUCAGCCAACUUUCCGUUAAGGAAAGCGGUCUUGACAUCCAUUUGCCAAAUCUCAUAAUCAUGAAAUGCGGCAAUAGCUAGCAUCACUCUAAUAGAUUUAAUCUUCGCAACUGGUGAGAAGGUCUCAUCAUAGUCAACUCCGGGAGUUUGAGUAAAGCCCUUCGCAACCAAUCGCGCUUUAUAUGUGUGUACGUUUCCAUCCACGUCGGUCUUCUUCUUGAAGAUCCAUUUGCACCCAACGGUCUUACGUCCGGGCACAUAAUCAACCAAAUUCCAAACUUGGUUAUCAUACAUGGAUUGGAUCUCGCUAUCCAUUGCCUCUUUCCAUUUUGCAGACUCCGGGCCUGCCAUGGCUUCCUUAUAGCUAUUAGGUUCAUCAAGAUUUACUAGUGUACCAUCACUAAUAUACGUGUCCCCUUCGGUAGUAAUAUGAAAGCCAUAAAACUGGGGAUGAACUCUAACUCUAUCGGAACGUCUAAGAGGUAAGGAUUCGUCAAUCGGUUCAACCGGAGUUUCCUCCUCGGGUUGAGUGCCAGCGGUAGAGGUUCCUUCAUCUAUCGACUCUUGAAUCUCUUCAAGUUCGAUUUGCCUCCCACUGUCUCCUUGGCUUAUGAGUUCUCGCUCUCGGAAAACUCCUCUCCUCGCAACGAAGACAACAUUGUCCUUCGGUCUAUAGAAGAGAUAUCCAAAGGAUGUCUGCGGGUAGCCGAUGAAAAUACAUCGCUCACUUCGAGGUUCAAGCUUGUCGUGAGUAUCUCGUCUUACGAAAGCCUCGCAACCCCAAACCUUGAUAUGUGCCAACGAGGGAGCUUUCCCUGUCCACAUCUCGUGAGGUGUUUUGGCAACCUUCUUAGUAGGGACUCGGUUAAGGAUAUGGGCGGCAGUCUCUAAGGCAUACCCCCAAAAAGAGAUUGGUAGUGAAGCACGACUCAUCAUAGAGCGAACCAUAUCCAAUAAGGUUCGAUUACGCCUUUCUGCCACACCAUUCAACUGCGGUGUCCUAGGAGGCGUCAAUUGUGAAACUAUUCCACACUCCUUGAGAUAAUCGUGGAAUUCAAGACUUAGGUACUCUCCUCCUCGAUCGGAUCGAAGCAUCUUGAUUUUCCUGCCCAAUUGAUUCUCCACUUCAUUCUUGAACUCUUUGAACUUUUCAAAGGUGUCUGACUUUUGCUUGAUUAAGUAGAUAUACCCAUAUCUACUAUAGUCAUCGGUAAAAGUCACAUAGAAGCGGUUCCCAUCCUUCGUGGUUGAUCUAAACGGUCCACAUACAUCGGUAUGUAUUAGGUCCAAUAGACCCUCGCCCCUUUCACAUGUACUCGUGAAGGGUGACUUAGUCAUCUUUCCAAGCAAACAAGACUCGCAUGUGUCAUCUUCCCUAAGGUCGAAUGACUCCAACACUCCAUCCUUUUGGAGUUGGGCUAUGCGUUUCUUGUUGACAUGUCCAAGACGACAAUGCCACAAGGAUGCUUUAUCCAUACUAGUGGAAGAAUCAAUAUUCAAAACAUCAUUUCCUAAGUUAUCAACAAUCAUAACGGUUUCAUAUAUUCCAUUACAUGGUAUAGCUUCAAAGUAAAAGACACCAUUUAGAUAAGCCAAAAUAGAACCAUUCUCAUUAUUAAAAGAAAAUCUAAAUCCUUGUCUAUAUAAACCAUGAAAUGAAAUGAUGUUUCUUGCCAUUUCUGGCGAAUAGCAACAAUUGUUCAAAUCUAAAACUAAACUAUUCCUAAGCACUAAGGAAUACACUCCAAUCUUGGUCACAGGCGACGAUCUUCUGUUCCCCAUGAUUAGAUUGAUCCUUCCUUGCUCCACAUCCCUACUUCUUCUUAGUCCCUGCACAUUAGAACAAAUGUGAUAACCACAACCGGUAUCAAGAACCCAAGAAAUAGCAUGAUUAGAAUCGUUAGAUUUGAUUGUAUAUAUACCUGCGAAAGAUGGCUUGAUCUUUCCUUCUUUGAUUGCUUGCAGGUAAUCCGGGCAGCUUCUCUUCCAAUGUCCUAUCUUGUGGCAGUGGUGGCACUCUGCCUCCUUCGGGUUAGAGCAGGGCUUAGCGGGAUCAACUUUGGUCCCACUAGAAGAGGCACCAUCUCGGGCUUUCACCUUGCGAUAGUUCUUCGAUGAAGCUUUCCUCUUCUUUCCCUUCCCUUGUCCAAUAGCCAAGACAGGAGCAGCGGGCGGAUUGGGAGUAGGUGCAACAGACUUGUCUUUGAAGUUGCUCUCAGCAACCCUCAAGAGACCUUGGAGCUUGCUUAGGGUGACCUCUUCUUUGUUCAUGUGGUAGGUCAUCCUAAAUUGAUUGUACAUCGGAGGCAAAGAGUGAAGCACCAUGUCGAUCGCCAAAUCCUCACCGAAGUCAACAUUUAACUUGCGAAGGCGGUCGACAUACCUUUGCAUCUUUUGCAAGUGCACGGUAAGAGAUUCUCCAUGACCCAUCUUCGCGGAAAUCAUGUUAGUGAAAAUCUCGUACCUCUCUUGUCUCGCGUUUUGGUGGUACCUCUCCAAUAAGUCUUGGUGCAUCUCGUACGGGUACAUGUCCUCGUAGGACUUUUGGAAUUCGGAGUUCAUGGUGGCGAUCAUGAUGCAAUGUACCUUCGUUGCAUCUCGCUCAUGAGUUUCAAAAGCGGUGAUUUCGGCGGGAGUAGCAAUUUCGGGGUUGAUUUUCUCGAGCUUCUCAUCGAGGACAUACUCCUUAUCCUCAUAGCGAGCAAUGGUGCGAAUGUAUCUUAUCCAUUCGCUAAAGUUCGUUCCAUCGAAGGUGACCUUUUGGCAAAGGCUCAUCAACGUGAAAGAACUAGCAGCAGCGUUGUUUGCGUUCGACAUCUACAAUUAGAAAAGGACAAAGAUAGAUUAGAAUAAGAAUCCCUAAUUAUCACCCAAUAAGAAAAUUAGGGCUAGGAUCCAACAAUAACAUUUACAUACUAGAAAAGGGAUGCCGUAAUCUAACAUGCAAAUAAAUUGAAGGUAAGUGAAUGACGAUUCACUAAUUCUCCAUCACGAAACUUAAACUAUUAGUCCUAAGUGUUUUUGAGAAUUCCUAGGUUCGGAUGAGAUUCAUUGAAACUAUUCAAUGGCAUGUUUAAAUCUCGAUAUGCCCCUCUUGUUUGUGACUGGGAUGCCGAGGAUCACAAAGCGGGUGUGAAUUACCAUGCAAAUUCACAUGGUGCCUUCAUUGUAACGAUCACCUAUUCGAUGUGCCGGUAAACCACACACGCUCCAUCGAACUAUGAUAAACAAUGAAUCACCCUUUGCCACCUUCGCUUAGAACCAAUUAGUGUGCCGGUAAACCACACACGCUCCACUAACAUCUUAGCAAGGUGCAAAGUGUAAUUUCAUGGGAUUGCAUCAAUUCACUUUUCCUAAAGUAACUAGGAUUGGGAAAUUUUGAAAUAUGUGUAGUUAUUUGUAUUUCUUAUUAUACUUUUAAUGAGAGGAUGAGGUUGCCCUAUCCUACCCGUUCGGCUAACGACCCUCCACCAAUCAAGCAAGCGGUGGGUGUGAGUGUACACCCAUUAAGCGCCAUUUUAUAGGCCGCAACCUUAUACCCACCUUAUAGAUCGGCUUCGUGAAUGAGGCCUACUAACGGUAAGACUAGCAUUUAGUUAUACAUAUAUAUAUUAUUCUAGUAAUAUCAUAUUAGUAUAGGGUUGUAUUUUAAAACUUUUAAAAUCUAGGGUUUGAAAUUUAAGUUGUCUAAAUUAAAACUUUUAAUCACAAAAGUAAAUUUCAAAACAUGAGGGUAGGUUUUAAACAUUUAAAACAUGGAGGAUCAAAUAACAAAUAAUUCCAAUUAACAAUUAAUAUCCUAAUUAUCUAUAUUUGAUUUAUUCAAGAUUUCUUUUUAAGAUAAUUACCAAAAUAAUUAAAAUAAUUAAUUAAUUAUCAUAUAAGGAAAUUAAAUAUUUAAUUAGUUGAUAAUUACCUUUAACUAGAUCAAGAUAAUAGUUAUAUUUAUCAGAAAAACGAAUUAAUGUUGAUCUAAUUAGUUUAUGGUAAGUUAAGAUAAGAUAAACACAAAGAAAUCCCGAAUCUGGCCAUUCCUGACGCCUGGACUCGCCGAGUGCACAAAUGGACUCGCCGAGUCAGGCCUACUCGCCGAGUCCACUUUGGGACUCGCCGAGUCCAUGACUCAGAAACCAAAAAAUCGAAUUUUGCAGGUUUGUUUCAGUUAAUCAAGCAACAAUUUAAAGAAAACCAAGCUAGGCUCUGAUACCACUGAUGGGUUUUAGCCAUAAGAACUUUCCUAUGUGCGCAUGCAAAACCCUAAUGCUUGGAUCUAGGCUUUCUAAUAAACAUGCAUUGAAUCCAAGUCUUCUAAUGACUAAUUAGGUUAAAUAACAACAUUGAAACAGAUCUAGAAUCAUACCUUUGAGUUCCUUGUUGAUCUUGAGGUCUUGGAGCUUCUAGAGUCACAAGUGUCACUCCUCUAAUGGCUUACAAACACCAAUAGCAAUAAGAAUGAUUUAGGAGAGAGGAGAGGGGAGGAAUUCGACCAGAGUUCUCUUGCUUUUUCAGAAGUGUCGAAUUCCCUAUGCCAUGGGGUCUAUUUAUACUUGUAGACUCCUUAAGGAUUACAGAUAAGUCCCUAUCAGAUAAUCUUCUCUUAAGGCUAUCCAAAUCCAUUCCUAGAUAACUCUAAUGGACGAUUUUAGCUAUCCUAAUCCUCUUAGAAUUCGUCCAUAGCAUAUCCAAAUGGAUUUACAGUCUAAAGCUUAACUAUCAAACAAUUGACAGUUUAUACCCCUUUAUUUAAUUAAUCUCUUUAAGUCACCAAAUUAAUUCUAAUUAAUUCUAUGACUUAUAUUAAUCAAAUAACAAAUAUAUUAUUCAUUAUAUUAUUCUCAUAAUAUAUUAAUAAUAUUUACUCUCUCUUAAUAAAUCAUCCUAUCAAGUUGCUAUGGUGAAGGCAACCCAAAAGGACCAUGCACAACCGGAUCAAAUACUUGCCUAAUAUAGUUACAGCCUUAGACACUAUUCCAACAGUCUCCCACUUGGAUAAGUCUAGUAACUAUACAAGUACAAUUCGGUUUGCAAUCGUAGCUCUCAAAGACGCUGUCAACUCUGAUCUAAUCAAUCUUGUCCUUUAGAUAAGGGAACGUACAGUCCUCUGUUAGAUAUCAUGCUGACAAUCCUAUGGAAUGGUUAGUCAAGCAUUUAGGUUUCUCGAUCUCUGAUUUAUUUGACAUAGAACUUAAUCGAACACAUCAAUUCAGUUCUGACCGGGCCCGGCACAUAAGUCAAAUCAAAUCAUCGAGCGGCCGAGAUAUCGCUUUUACCUUCUUAGAUAAAAGUUACAGAUAAACUUCGACUUAUAUGCAUUUACUUAUUCAUUUACCAACUAUACACAACAAUACGUUUUAUAACACCAAGUUACUGAUGCGUUUUCGUAUUAUCAAUGUACAAUCAAUUAACAAAUAAUAAACCAUAUAUCUAGGUUUUAAGACUAUAUGAUAUUAUCGUCUUGCG
rnacentral:lncRNA from 1 species